AAUGAAAAUUUGAAAACAAUAUUUAAAUGUUAUCUGGUGUUUGUUGAAGGAUGAUGAUCCCAGAAAGAAAGAAGAUGCUGCAACAGAAGCUGAAAUAAACACAUUACCCAGUAAAUCCCAAGCUGAAGUAAAUCCAGAUGUCAUCAACAAUGCAUCCUUCCAAGAUGGUGUGAAGCAACUUUCAGCAGUAAACAUUUUACCUCCUGAAUCUUCACUGGAUGAAAAGACCAGCACAUCACAACAAUCCCAAAAGGGUAAAGCUGCAGAUGCAACAAGUGCAGAUUACGCCCAAAACGUUCAGAGUGAAGAGCAAUCUGGAACACUGGAAGACAAGGAAGAAAACUCAGUGGUUGGCGCAGCAGAAGAAAAUCCAGACCAGUAUGAAUCACAACAAAAAAAAGAACAGUUAUUUAUUCAACUUAAUCUUAAACAAAAACUGAAAACUGCAGAUGUUCUUAAAAUAAGUA
rnacentral:lncRNA from 1 species